rnacentral:rRNA from 1 species
GUUUGAUCCUGGCUCAGAGCGAACGUUAGCGGCAGGCUUAACACAUGCAAGUCGAGCGAGAAAGGGGCUUCGGCUCCGAGUAAAAGCGGCGGACGGGUGCGUAACACGUGGAUAAUCUGCCUCGUGGCGGGGGACAACAGUCCGAAAGGACUGCUAAUACCGCAUGUCAGGUCGGAAACUCCGGUUUCUGACGAAAAAGAGGGCGUCCGCAAGGAGCUCUCACCACGAGAUGAGUCCGCGUCCCAUCAGCUAGUUGGCGGUGUAAUGGACCACCAAGGCUUAGACGGGUAGCUGGUCUGAGAGGAUGACCAGCCACACUGGGACUGAGACACGGCCCAGACUCCUACGGGAGGCAGCAGUGGGGAAUAUUGGACAAUGGGCGAAAGCCUGAUCCAGCCAUGCCGCGUGAGUGAUGAAGGCCUCGGUCGUAAGACUCUGUGGGAGGGACGGAAAAGACGUAGACC